UUAGUAAAAUUGUUUACUCAGUUUGAAACCUUUUAUUUUCGUGACCCUAUUUAAUUAAUUACUUUUCUAAAGAAAAUCUUAGAAAAUUCAUAUCUUUUUCGUUAUAGCUCCGAUUUUCGUGAUCUUUACAUCUGUGUGAUCGGAGUGCGAUGUAGAUUUGUUUUAUAAACUUUUUAUCUUUAUUUGCUACUGUUGGUGUAUUGUUCUAAUUAUAGUUUUGUUUUGCUUUGUGUGAUUGCCUCUCGAUGAUUGUUGUUGAUGUGAUGACUGAGUUUAGUCGGUGAGCUUUUACGUGGUGUUCAAGAAGCAGAUUGUGGAAGGUUUGGAACCAAAAGAAGGAUCUGAGUUUCAAGGCAAGUAUAGCAUGGAAUCAUCCUUGUUUCCUAAUAACUUUAAUCACUUAAUACAUAUUGCAUGUGUCUCCUUGAUAAGGAUUUCCUAGUAUUGAUCUUAUACCUUGUCAC
rnacentral:lncRNA from 1 species